AGUUGAUGCACAUGGCGGUUUUCCUCCCAGUUCCGCUGCAACAGCUGUUCCCCUCUGGAGGUUCAUACCUUCAAACUCACGGGCCGCGGUUUUUCCGGCGGCCCUUUUUU
rnacentral:sRNA from 1 species